UACGUAGGUCCCGAGCGUUGUCCGGAUUUAUUGGGCGUAAAGCGGGCGCAGGUGGUUUAUUAAGUCUGGUGUAAAAGGCAGUGGCUCAACCAUUGUAUGCAUUGGAAACUGGUAGACUUGAGUGCAGGAGAGGAGAGUGGAAUUCCAUGUGUAGCGGUGAAAUGCGUAGAUAUAUGGAGGAACACCGGUGGCGAAAGCGGCUCUCUGGCCUGUAACUGACACUGAGGUUCGAAAGCGUGGGGAGCAAACAGG
rnacentral:rRNA from 1 species